GGGCUCCCUUCGGCAGCACAAAUCCUAAAACUGAACGACACGGAGAAGAUUAGCAUGGCCCCUGAGCAAGGAUGACACGCAAAUUUGUGGAGCGUUCCAUAUUUUU